GCGGCGGGCCUCGGGCGCGGGCACGAGCGCGGGGGCGCGCGUUAAACGAACGGGAUUUUCCAAACGGAGCAAUAGAAAGCCAAGGGCUUUCCGUCCGAGACCCGGAGUUGCACAACAGCGCUGACCCACGAGUGCGGGUGCACAGCCGCGCCAACCAACAGGUAACUGCAUUCUUUGGAGAACGGAAGAAUGGAAAACAAGUAGAAAGUAUUUCCUAUACAACUUUUACAAGCAACUCAAGUCUCUUAAAAACACUCACUAUUUAGCACAUGGAGCUUAGGCUGAUCCUCCAAGAAGAACUUUUUCUGUAUAAUGAAUUUUAACAGCUACUUAGAUUAUUAAACUAGUAAAACUGCAUGACUGGAACUCA